rnacentral:rRNA from 1 species
CGGACGGGUGAGUAAUGUCUGGGAAACUGCCUGAUGGAGGGGGGUAACUACUGGAAACGGUAGCUAAUACCGCAUAACGUCGCAAGACCAAAGAGGGGGACCUUCGGGCCUCUUGCCAUCGGAUGUGCCCAGAUGGGAUUAGCUAGUAGGUGGGGUAACGGCUCACCUAGGCGACGAUCCCUAGCUGGUCUGAGAGGAUGACCAGCCACACUGGAACUGAGACACGGCCCAG